rnacentral:lncRNA from 1 species
AUACAAAAAUGGGCGUAUGACAUUUGCGCCGAUUUUGAAAAUUUUCAUUCUUUCAUUUGCGCCGAUUUCAUUUUUUCAUUUGCGCCGAUUUUAUAUUUUUUCUUAAUUGGAUUUACAGGUAAGUUACAGGUAAGUUCAUACUUUUACAUUGGCUGAGCACAGAGUAUAAAGACAAAUCAAGUGACAUUGCAAUUGGUAAAUGGCUAUCCCAAUGUUUCGGGUUACCAUUCAUUUCCCUAAAUGAAAUCGAUGACUGCUUCACGUUUGACAGUGUCUGACGCUCCUUCUGAUGACAAAUGUCAUAUAUUCUUAGACAACGUACAAGUACACAUUCCAUAACUGUCAACCAAUUCGUGAUGGCGUCCAUAAAAUGAACGAAGGGAUGAUUUCAACUUCACCAUUUGGAACUCUUGGUUUAAUAGCUUCCUUGUGAGAAAAUGCGAACUCUAGAAAUGCCCCCACCAGUACGUAUGCCAGACAAAGAAAAGAGAGCCUUAAUUCGUUAUCGACAAUUACGCCAAAUAUAGAAGAGACGAAAUCAUAAGAAAGGAAUAUAUUAGAUGUGUUGCCUAUACAUACUCGGCAAGAACAGAUUUAUGAUUUGAAUGUAUUCCGUUUUUAUGGAUUUGAAUGCUGUACAUAUAUUUUUAAUUCGUCAUUUUAGUUUAAACAAAGUGCUUUUAUCUUAGGUUUUUACUUCUUGAUUUUACGCAGGAGACAACAGUUAUAUACGUGUUAUGAUUGACAAUUCAUAACAUAUGUACAACUGACUAACGGAAGAGGUCUUUAAUGAUAAAUGAAAAUAACAUUACUGGGAUGGAGAGUUGUCUCAUUGGCACUCGUACCACAUCUUCUUAUAUCAUUCAGUGUUCCAGCUAGCAUGAAAUGGAGGGGCGCCGCGCCCCGCCCCCGAAAUUUUGCGCCCCUCUGCCUUUUUUAAGCGCCCCUGUGCCCCUCUGUGCCCUUUUGAAAAAAAGUUUAAAAAACGAUCUUUUUUCCUCAUAUCGUCGCCAUUUUGUUGAGUUCUUUAUACACACUUCAUUAAGACAACAGAUUAAAAUUGUUGACACUUGUUACCUGAUUAUAAUCACCUAUUUGAUUAGAAUCAAUUACUUAAUCAGGUGAAAUUUACGACCCUGUCUAAUCCCUUUACCCUGAAGCACCAAAC